rnacentral:rRNA from 1 species
CAACAGUCUCAGUUCAGAUUGUAGGCUGAAACUCGCCUAUAUGAAGUCGGAAUUGCUAGUAAUCGCGGAUCAGCAUGCCGCGGUGAAUACGUUCCCGGGCCUUGUACACACCGCCCGUCACACCAUGAGAGUCGAUAACACCCGAAGCCUGUAGUCUAACAGCAAUGAGGACGCAGUCGAAGGUGGGAUUGAUAAUUAGGGUGAAGUCGUAACAAGGUACC